rnacentral:rRNA from 1 species
UGACAGUGGGAAGCCAGGCAGCGAUGCCGAGCUGAUCCUCAAAAGCCGUCUCAGUUCGGAUUGUACUCUGCAACUCGAGUGCAUGAAGGUGGAAUCGCUAGUAAUCGCGGAUCAGCAUGCCGCGGUGAAUACGUUCCCGGGCCUUGUACACACCGCCCGUCACACCAUGGGAUUUGGUUUGACCUUAAGCUGGUGCGCUAACCCGCAAGGGAGGCAGCCAACCACGGUCGGGUCAGAGACUGGGGUGAAGUCGUAACAAGGUAGCCGUAA